GUUUUUGCAACUACUUCUGUUACCAGAGAACAGAAAACAUCCCUGUCAAAUCGGCUAUGAGGCAGUUUCCUGACAAAGCAGUCUGAGACAUCCUGAAAUCCCAACUGACGGAGCUCACAUCCCACACCUUGUUACCAGACAGAGUGUGAUGACUAGUUUUGGUGGUCAACUUGACUAAAUCUGGAAUGAACUACAAUCCGGAAAUGGAGGGCACACUUGUGAUCUGGAUCUUGAGGCUGGAUGACACACACCUUUAAUACAGAUCUUGAGGAUUCCAGCAUAUACAGAAGAUCUACUGAGACACAAGGCUGGGUAGCCCUGUGGGACUGAGCAACUACUAGAUUCUUGAACUUUCCAUUCACGGGUAGUCAUUAUU